GGACGGGGCCCGCACAAGCGGUGGAGUAUGUGGUUUAAUUCGAUGCAACGCGAAGAACCUUACCUGGUCUUGACAUCCCGGAGACCCUUAGGAAACUAGGGGGUGCUUCCAUCUGGAAGAAUCUGGAGACAGGUGCUGCAUGGCUGUCGUCAGCUCGUGUCGUGAGAUGUUGGGUUAAGUCCCGCAACGAGCGCAACCCUUGCCUUUAGUUGCCAGCAGUUCGGCUGGGCACUCUAAAGGGACUGCCGGUGUUAAACCGGAGGAAGGUGGGGAUGACGUCAAGUCCUCAUGGCCUUUAUGACCAGGGCUACACGCGUACUACAAUGGCCGAUACAAAGGGCAGCGACACUGCGAGGUGAAGCCAAUCCCGUAAAAUCGGUCUCAGUCCGGAUUGGAGUCUGCAACUCGACUCCAUGAAGUUGGAAUCGCUAGUAAUCGUGGAUCAGCAUGCCACGGUGAAUACGUUCCCGGGCCUU
rnacentral:rRNA from 1 species